AUUGAACGCUGGCGGCAGGCCUAACACAUGCAAGUCGAGCGAGGGGCGGACGGGUGAGUAAUGUAUGGGGACUGCCCGAUGGAGGGGGAUAACUACUGGAAGCGGUAGCUAAGACCGCAUCCUCUCGGAUAAGCUCUAUGGGAUUAGCUAGUAGGUGGGGUAAUGGCUCACCUAGGCGACGAUCCCUAGCUGGUCUGAGAGGAUGAUCAGCCACACUGGGACUGAGACACGGCCCAGACUCCUACGGAGGCAGCAGUGGGGAAUAUUGCACAAUGGGCGCAAGCCUGAUGCAGUCAUGCCGCGUGUAUGAAGAAGGCCUUAGGGUUGUAAAGUACUUUCAGUCGGGAGGCGUUACCGACAGAAGAAGCACCGGCUAACUCCGUGCCAGCAGCCGCGGUAAUUC
rnacentral:rRNA from 1 species